UUAAUCUUGCGACCGUACUCCCCAGGCGGAAUGCUUAAUCCGUUAGGUGUGACACCAACAAGUAUACUUGCUGACGUCUGGCAUUCAUCGUUUACGGUGUGGACUACCAGGGUAUCUAAUCCUGUUUGCUCCCCACACUUUCGCACCUCAGCGUCAGUAUCGAGCCAGUAAGCCGCCUUCGCCACUGGUGUUCCUCCGAAUAUCUACGAAUUUCACCUCUACACUCGGAAUUCCACUUACCUCUCUCGAACUCAAGACUAGCAGUAUUAAAGGCAGUUCCAGGGUUGAGCCCUGGGAUUUCACCUCUAACUUACUAAUCCGCCUACGUGCGCUUUACGCCCAGUAAUUCCGAACAACGCUAACCCCCUCCGUAUUACCGCGGCUGCUGGCACGGAGUUAGCCGGGGUUUCUUUACCAGAUACUGUCAUUAUCAUCUCUGGCGAAAGUGCUUUACGACCCUAAGGCCUUCAUCACACACGCGGCAUGGCUAGAUCAGGGUUUCCCCCAUUGUCUAAGAUUCCCUACUGCUGCCUCCCGUAGGAGUCUGGGCCGUGUCUCAGUCCCAGUGUGGCUGAUCAUCCUCUCAAACCAGCUAUAGAUCGUAGGCUUGGUAGGCCAUUACCCCACCAACUACCUAAUCUAACGCGGGCUAAUCCUUCUCCGAUAAAUCUUUCCCCCGAAGGGCGUAUAAGGUAUUACUCUCAGUUUCCCGAGGCUAUUCCUUAGAGAAGGGCAUAUUCCCACGCGUUACUCACCCGUCCGCCGCUCAUCCCGAAGGAUGCGCUCGACUUGCAUGUAUUAGGCCUGCCGCCAGCGUUCGUUCUGAGCCAGGAUCAAACUCU
rnacentral:rRNA from 1 species